rnacentral:lncRNA from 1 species
GCCACCCACAGACCCCGAGUACACCCACACCUCAAAACAAGUACAUAAUUACAUCUCACAACACUCUAACACGAGAGUAUAAAAUCAAGAUUUGUAGAUUAUAAAACUAUUUAUUAAUAAAAUAAUUAAAUUAUUACUUUUUUGUUUUUGUUACUAUUAUUUCAUAUUAAUAGAAGUGUUUCAAUUAUUAAUAUCCAUCCAAUGCCAUAUUUUUU